GGAAACUUUAAAACUACCGUUGGAUCGAGAUCUGGACGUUCGAGAUUCGUCCACGUCACUAUGAGUUAAAAUUUAACUCCCAGAAAUUUUAACUCAUGAGUGAAUCUACGAGUUAAAUUUUAACUCAUGAUGACAUGGACGAAUCUUGAACGUCCAUUUCUCGAUCCAACGGUAAUUUUCAAGUUUUC
rnacentral:pre_miRNA from 1 species